rnacentral:tRNA from 1 species
AUUUAAAUAGCUUAAGGAGAGUAUAAUAUUGAAGAUAUUAAGGUAACAAGUAUGUUUUUAAAUA